GCCUGGGUAGCGUGGUGGUUAGCGUGUCGAGCUAGCAACCCGGGGCUUGCAGGUUCAAAUCUCCGCCCCAGAUG